rnacentral:rRNA from 1 species
CGCGGCCUAUCAGCUUGUUGGUGGGGUAAUGGCUCACCAAGGCGACGACGGGUAGCCGGCCUGAGAGGGUGACCGGCCACACUGGGACUGAGACACGGCCCAGACUCCUACGGGAGGCAGCAGUGGGGAAUAUUGCACAAUGGGCGGAAGCCUGAUGCAGCGACGCCGCGUGAGGGGUGACGGCCUUAGGGUUGUAAACCGCUUUCAGUAGUGAAGAAAAUGACGGUACCUACAGAAGAAGGUGCGGCCAACUACGUGCCAGCAGCCGCGGUGACACGUAGGGUGCGAGCGUUGUCCGGAAUUAUUGGGCGUAAAGAGCUCGUAGGCGGUGUGUCGCGUCGGCCGUGAAAACUUGGGGCUUAACUCUGAGCGUGCGGUCGAUACGGGCAUCACUUGAGUUCGGCAGGGGAGACUGGAAUUCCUGGUGUAGCGGUGAAAUGCGCAGAUAUCAGGAGGAACACCGGUGGCGAAGGCGGGUCUCUGGGCCGAUACUGACGCUGAGGAGCGAAAGCGUGGGGAGCGAACAGGAUUAGAUACCCUGGUAGUCCACGCCGUAAACGUUGGGCGCUAGGUGUGGGGACCAUUCCACGGUUUCUGUGCCGCAGCUAACGCAUUAAGCGCCCCGCCUGGGGAGUACGG